GGAAAGCACUAGGGGUGCUGUUUUGGCUGAGAUAAAGCGCGGAAGAAACGCGCUUUGAUCCCUUAUGACCCGAUCUGGAUAAUACCAGCGUGGGGAAGUGCAGGUUGACCGAA
rnacentral:ncRNA from 10 species